rnacentral:rRNA from 1 species
GAUGAACGCUGGCGGCGUGCCUAAUACAUGCAAGUCGAGCGAACAGAUGAGGAGCUUGCUCCUCUGACGUUAGCGGCGGACGGGUGAGUAACACGUGGAUAACCUACCUAUAAGACUGGGAUAACUUCGGGAAACCGGAGCUAAUACCGGAUAAUAUAUUGAACCGCAUGGUGCAAUAGUGAAAGACGGUUUUGCUGUCACUUAUAGAUGGAUCCGCGCCGCAUUAGCUAGUUGUUAAGGUAACGGCUUACCAAGGGGACGAUGCGUAGCCGACCUGAGAGGGUGAUCGGCCACACUGGAACUGAGACACGGUCCAGACUCCUACGGGAGGCAGCAGUAGGGAAUCUUCCGCAAUGGGCGAAAGCCUGACGGAGCAACGCCGCGUGAGUGAUGAAGGUCUUCGGAUCGUAAAACUCUGUUAUUAGGGAAGAACAAAUGUGUAAGUAACUAUGCACGUAUUGACGGUACCUAAUCAGAAAGCAACGGCUAACUACGUG